rnacentral:rRNA from 1 species
AUUGAACGCUGGCGGCAGGCCUAACACAUGCAAGUCGAGCGGAUGAAGGGAGCUUGCUCCUGGAUUCAGCGGCGGACGGGUGAGUAAUGCCUAGGAAUCUGCCUGGUAGUGGGGGAUAACGUCCGGAAACGGGCGCUAAUACCGCAUACGUCCUGAGGGAGAAAGUGGGGGAUCUUCGGACCUCACGCUAUCAGCUGACCCUAGGUCGGAUUAGCUAGUUGGUGGGGUAAAGGCCUACCAAGGCGACGAUCCGUAACUGGUCUGAGAGGAUGAUCAGUCACACUGGAACUGAGACACGGUCCAGACUCCUACGGGAGGCAGCAGUGGGGAAUAUUGGACAAUGGGCGAAAGCCUGAUCCAGCCAUGCCGCGUGUGUGAAGAAGGUCUUCGGAUUGUAAAGCACUUUAAGUUGGGAGGAAGGGCAGUAAGUUAAUACCUUGCUGUUUUGACGUUACCAACAGAAUAAGCACCGGCUAACUUCGUG